GAAAGCCCCCGGCUCAACCGGGGAGGGGUCAUUGGAAAUGGGGAACUUGAGUGCAGAAGAGGAGAGUGGAAUUCCACGUGUAGCGGUGAAAUGCGUAGAGAUGUGGAGGAACACCAGUGGCGAAGGCGACUCUCUGGUCUGUAACUGACGCUGAGGCGCGAAAGCGUGGGGAGCGAACAGGAUUAGAUACCCUGGUAGUCCACGCCGUAAACGAUGAGUGCUAAGUGUUAGAGGGUUUCCGCCCUUUAGUGCUGCAGCAAACGCAUUAAGCACUCCGCCUGGGGAGUACGGUCGCAAGACUGAAACUCAAAGGAAUUGACGGGGGCCCGCACAAGCGGUGGAGCAUGUGGUUUAAUUCGAAGCAACGCGAAGAACCUUACCAGGUCUUGACAUCCUCUGACAACCCUAGAGAUAGGGAUUCCCCUUCGGGGGCAGAGUGACAGGUGGUGCAUGGUUGUCGUCAGCUCGUGUCGUGAGAUGUUGGGUUAAGUCCCGCAACGAGCGCAACCCUUGAUCUUAGUUGCCAGCAUUCAGUUGGGCACUCUAAGGUGACUGCCGGUGACAAACCGGAGGAAGGUGGGGAUGACGUCAAAUCAUCAUGCCCCUUAUGACCUGGGCUACACACGUGCUACAAUGGGCAGAACAAAGGGCAGCGAAGCCGCGAGGCUAAGCCAAUCCCACAAAUCUGUUCUCAGUUCGGAUCCCAGUCUGCAACUCGACUGCGUGAAGCUGGA
rnacentral:rRNA from 1 species